GCCGGUAUAGUGUAAUGAUUAACAUACCUCCUUCACAAUGGGGAGCUCAAGGUUCGAUUCUCGUGCCGGAA